rnacentral:rRNA from 1 species
GUCUUUUUGUUUAUAAUUUAAAGUUGAAUCUGCCCACUGAUAUAAUAUUAAAGGGCUGCAGUAUAUUGACUGUACAAAGGUAGCAUAAUCAUUAGUCUUUUAAUUGGAGACUUGUAUGAAGGAUUUGAUGAGAUAUUAGCUGUCUCUUUUUUAUAAUUAAAAUUUAAUUUUUUAGUAAAAAAGCUAAAAUAAAUUUAAAAGACGAGAAGACCCUAUAGAGUUUUAUAUUCAUUUUAGUUUUAAAUUUUUGUAAAGUUUAAAUUUAGAAUUAAAUAUAAUAUUUUAUUGGGGUGAUAGAAAAAUUAAUAAAACUUUUUUUAAAGAUGAACAUUGAUUUAUGAGUAAUUGAUCCAUAAUUUAUGAUAGUAAGAGAAAAUUACCUUAGGGAUAACAGCGUAAUUUUUUUUUUUAGUACAAAUAAAAAUAAAAGUUUGCGACCUCGAUGUUGGAUUAAGAUAAAAUUUAAAUGUAGAAGUUUAAAAUUUUUGAUCUGUUCGAUCAUUAAAAUCUUACA